AGCAGCAAAGUGGAAAAACAAUAUAGCAAUUUCCCACAGCAUGUAGAUCAAGUGUCUAUCAUGAAAGGUCCUGACAAUGCCGUACAGAAGCAAGCCCAAGGUUCAGAGAAAGCAAGUGAAGCAUUGGGGUCAGUGUAAACAGUCUGGAGACUUCAGCUUCACCCUUGACCGAAAACUGCAAUGAGCUUAAAGAAUUUUCUGAUAAAUCACGCUGAAUUUUGAUGAGCCAAGUGAUGAAGUGAAGCGCAUUCUUAAAGUGUUAGCCGUCAUAUCACCUGAAGCAUUGAGCGCAUCAGUUAAUGAAAUGAGAGACGCAGUCUAUUUGAAUGAUGUGAUGGCAACUUCAGAGUUCUUAGAUGAACCACGAGAGAUGGUUCAACAACAAAACCAACCGGACCUCAUUGCAC